rnacentral:lncRNA from 1 species
AAUUCCACAUGUAUAUAAAAGUUGAAAUCCAGUCCACUUGCAAUGUAAUUCAACAAUGUAUACAAAGAGAUCGAUGAUAAUUAUCUGUUACAAACUAAGACAUACUUGAUGCGUUUGAGAUAUUCAUGAACAACAACGUCAGGAAUGUUCUUCGCUUCAUUCGCAUGGUAAUCAUAUUGCUUGCUUGGGUUAUAUCCAACGGUACAAGGAAUUUUCCCAUGGGAGAGCUUGAUUUCUCACGUUCGCAUACUCGUACAGUUUUUACAGCAAUCUCCCGAAGCUUAGCAAGAUCAAGUGGGCUCUGCGCAUGAAAGCAGAUAAUCAGAUGGAAUCAAAAAUCCUGCUUCAUUCAAGCCAAAUUAAAUAUGCUUCAGUUUAUUGUUUUCAAAACAAUAGAUGUCUAGUCUCAUAGUAAAACUUAUAACUAACAGAAAACCUUUGUUAAUAUCGACAACAUGAGAUGUGUCACUAAAUCAAAUAAUAGGGGAAUUAGUGUGUUAAGGAUUUUUCAUAACAAUAUUGUAUCUUGUUGACAUUAUCAAUAGGUGUUGGAUAACCUAGACAACACCAGGUGCAUCAUCUGUCUAGCUAAUUCAUUUGUGAAGCAUAAUAUGUUGAGAAAAAGGGGAAAUAUAGUUCAUCUCUUGCGCUUAAAAUAAAGAAACCGGGAAGCAUAUAAUGAAUAUUUGGGACUACAUCCCCCUUUUCCCUUAGGUUAGUCCCAAAUAUUUUGCUUCUUGGGUUAUGCAUAAGAGGAUAUUUUGGGUUGAGUCUGAUUUUGACCCAAUAACUAGGCUAUGACACAUUGUAAUAAAGUUGCGACAAGUAAUAUGGAUCAGAGGGAGUAAUAAACUUUGACGAGAUGAGAAUUCCUAUCAGAGCAACAAAGGAAUCCGACCAACAUAUCCAUGGAGUAUCCCAAAGAGUAUUGUUUAUACCACAAUAACUUUGUUAUGACACAUUGCACGCUGAACUUAGGCAGUACCUCUUAAAAUUAUCUUAAAGGAAAAGUUGACUCUGGUGAGUAUAGAUACUCGGCAUAUACUGCUCCCAAAUCUAAAGGGAGUAUUUUUUGUAAUGAAGAGAUAUAUUUUACUGCAACACAAGGAUGAAUGAUAUUUUCCGACAUUCAGGCCAUGCUUCAUGGACAACAAUUUCUACAUUAGACAAGCACAAACUGAAAAUCUAGAGCUAAGAUGUACAUGCAAUAGUUACUUUACACUCUUUCAUACCAAAGCAUAUGAUUUGAUCACUUCCAGGUUCGAACAUUGCCAUGUCAGUUCAUCAAAUAGAAAAACAUUACCUUGUCUAAGACCUCGCUUAUGAUAACGUUUAGGUGCAGACCUUUGCUCAUAUACACUUUCUGAAGUAGGAUUUGGAUUUGGAAGGUUAUCACAUAGAAAUUCAGUUCAAUUAGAAAAUAUUGAUAAUACCACAAGGAAUAGGCAGGAACCAUAAAAAAUGUGACUGCAUCCUACCUAGUGCUUCUCCAAAUUAAACCAUGUCACUCACCUGAAAAACUUCUAGAUUGUGACCAAUGCCACAAUUUAUGUCAUCUUCUACUAAAAACUAUGCAAGCUCAUGUCCUUCUCUAGCUGAUUAUGUCACCUAAACCAGAUUAAAUUUUAUUAGUUUACCCAUGCUAAAUUAUGUAUCAAAACCAGGGUAACAACUUUUCAAAGGUAAAGAAGUAUAGAACAACAUGUAGCCUGAUCUUCCCAAAACAUGCACUAAGCAGAAUAUCAAUGAUAGGUGUGGAGAUGGGAAGGCCAUGGAAAUAAAAGGUAGAUUGGAUCAAACCUGCUCUGAUCAGGUCAUCAGAGUCAGUCCUGCAGCGUGGGGCGGCGGAGCACGACGGCAGAUGGCUAUCUUGACCCUGAAGGUGCACAUGGCCUCCACGGGGCACACACACGCCCAACACACUACAUACAUCACAAAUCGCAUCGCGCACACACACAAAAUACACUCACCACACCUAGCAACCGUGCGCGCGAUCGAUCCAACAAUGCCCCCACGCACCCUAGCGGGGGGGAGGGGACCACACAUUAAAGGGUAGAUAAGUUGCAACAAAUAAGGUAACAUAUUUUUAUUUUUCAAAAAGAAACUUUCAGUUAAAGAAAUUGGAAGUUUGACCAAGUUGUAGGUUACCUAGAUUAAAGGAACAAAUGCACUCCAGUGUGUGCGCUCUUUACCCGAGUAAUAGAACCAGUUGCCACAUUGUUAGCUAAGUC